rnacentral:rRNA from 1 species
GGCGAACGCUGGCGGCGUGCCUAAUACAUGCAAGUUGAGCGCUGAAGGUUGGUACUUGUACCAACUGGAUGAGCAGCGAACGGGUGAGUAACGCGUGGGGAAUCUGUCUUUGAGCGGGGGACAACAUUUGGAAACGAAUGCUAAUACCGCAUAAAAACUUUAAACACAAGUUUUAAGUUUGAAAGAUGCAAUUGCAUCACUCAAAGAUGAUCCCGCGUUGUAUUAGCUAGUUGGUGAGGUAAAGGCUCACCAAGGCGAUGAUACAUAGCCGACCUGAGAGGGUGAUCGGCCACAUUGGGACUGAGACACGGCCCAAACUCCUACGGGAGGCAGCAGUAGGGAAUCUUCGGCAAUGGACGAAAGUCUGACCGAGCAACGCCGCGUGAGUGAAGAAGGUUUUCGGAUCGUAAAACUCUGUUGGUAGAGAAGAACGUUGGUGAGAGUGGAAAGCUCAUCAAGUGACGGUAACUACCCAGAAAGGGACGGCUAACUACGUG